AAUGGACGAGAGUCUGAACCAGCCAAGUAGCGUGAAGGAUGACUGCCCUAUGGGUUGUAAACUUCUUUUAUAUGGGAAUAAAGUGGUCCACGUGUGGAUUUUUGUAUGUACCAUAUGAAUAAGGAUCGGCUAACUCCGUGCCAGCAGCCGCGGUAAUACGGAGGAUCCGAGCGUUAUCCGGAUUUAUUGGGUUUAAAGGGAGCGUAGGUGGACAGUUAAGUCAGUUGUGAAAGUUUGCGGCUCAACCGUAAAAUUGCAGUUGAUACUGGCUGUCUUGAGUACAGUAGAGGUGGGCGGAAUUCGUGGUGUAGCGGUGAAAUGCUUAGAUAUCACGAAGAACUCCGAUUGCGAAGGCAGCUCACUGGACUGCAACUGACACUGAUGCUCGAAAGUGUGGGUAUCAAA
rnacentral:rRNA from 1 species